CUGCCAAUAACUGUGUAAUGAACACUUAAAUAAGGCUGUAAUGGUAUAAUGCAAAAUACCUUAGUAAGACCCACUGCUCCAUCAAGGCAGCAAGAGAUUGUCUCUGUCUGACAAGCAACUGUAGGAGGUGUGCAGCAAAUCCUUUGCAUCUCUCAACACUACCUAGUCCAAUAUCCUAAAGAAAACAAACAGGGAGAAACAGGAGGGAAGGGAGACAACAGUUUAAUGAAUAAGCAGAUUGACAACAAUGUGGGCUGUGCCUCCAUUCCAUUUCACUAAACAGAGUGAAAGGCUAAGGUUCAAGUGAGCAAGUAUUAAAAUGCAGACAAAGUACAGUUAUUACUUUCCACUAUCUUCAAUCUUUUACACCUUUCAUAUAUUCCCCACAUAAUUCCAAUUUUCAAGUACAUUCUGCAAAAAGUAGUAUUACACUGCACUUCCACUGCAGCCAUUCCUAUCAGGAAUUGAGUUCAAAAAGUGACCUAAUUAAUACAUAAAUCCCAAGAGGAGAACCCAGAAGCUUAAAUUUUUACAUCCAUAAACACUGCUACAAUUAAUUUCACCAGAUUUACUGACAAUUACUUUCAUUCUUUUUAAUUAAAGAAGCCAAAUUCAAGUGUAGAAUACAUGAUGAUAAAAGGCAAAACAAAUCCCAGAUAUGUUUCAUUAUUUAUUCAACUAUCAGUUGUAAUAUUUGCUAAUUCAUGUAAGAUGAAGUACAGUGAGAGGAAAAGCAUCUGGAAGAGAUCCCCAUUUCCUGGAAAAGUGAUACUGACUUGGCAGAACACAUCUGUUCCUUCUAUCAAUUUUACAUCAAUUUCUAAGCAAGGCAAUGUAUUCUUCUGUUUCGUGCUACUCAGUUAUUUCCAAUGUAUAAAAUGCAACAGAUUUUCCAUGAUCACUAAUCCUGAUUCUGUUCUCCUAAUAUGUUUUAAUUCAGCUUCUGAGACACAUCCUUCACGAAGAACCAGCAACAAUUUGGGAACUGCUGGGAUGGAAAUACUGUACACUGCACAGAUUGCUCACUAACAAUCUGCUCAUUCUAUUGUUCGUUCAUUAAAUAACACAUUUUAAAAUGCUGAAUUUCAUAUUUGUCCCCCAAAUAUUUUCUAUCAUAUUAAAAAAAAAGAAAAAGCUUUAUCUCACAUCACCCUUUUAUUACUAGAAGAUUCCAGUAAAAGCUAACAACAGCAGGAUUCCUGUUUUUAGUUGCUUUACCUUGGCAGGGGCCAACAAUGCUGUCUGAAGUCGAGAGUGGCGUGCAAGCGAGCGAUAGAAGUACUUCUGGCAUCCAUCCCAGGCAGAGGAAAUCUCUGCCACAAACCUGACAGAGUACAAAACACUGGCAUUAGAAAGGAGCUCAACUGAAAUAAAUUUCCUGAUGAACUUAAUUUCCAAUUUUGACUGUGGAGAAUUUCAGCAAGUCCAUCAUCUUUCACAGGAUUAUGCAGAUAGUCUGCAGCAGUGUCUAUCAACACCAUCUAAUCUGAAUGGAGAUUAGUAAAUUGCUCUCAAGUGAAGAAAAAGCACCUCAACUGCAUGGAGUGAAGUACUUGGCCAAG